rnacentral:rRNA from 1 species
UACAGAGGCCUCGAGCGUUAGGCGGAAUCACUGGGCUUAAAGCGUGUGUAGGCGGAUGCCUAAGUACCUUGUGAAAUCCCACGGCUCACCCGUGGAACUGCUCGGUAUACUGGGUGUCUUGAGCCACCUAGGGGCUACCGGAACGAAUGGUGGAGCGGUGAAAUGCGUAGAUAUCAUUUGGAACGCCAACGGAGAAAUCAGGUAGCUGGGGGUGUGCUGACGCUGAGACACGAAAGCCAGGGGAGCGAACGGG